rnacentral:rRNA from 1 species
UACGGGGGGGGCAAACGUUGCUCGGAAUUAUUGGGCGUAAAGCGCACGUAGGCGGUCUACUAAGUCGGAUGUGAAAGCCCUCGGCUUAACCGAGGAAGUGCAUCCGAAACUGGCAGGCUAGAGUACAGAAGAGGGUCGCGGAAUUCCCGGUGUAGAGGUGAAAUUCGUAGAUAUCGGGAGGAACAUCGGUGGCGAAGGCGGCGACCUGGGCUGAUACUGACGCUGAGGUGCGAAAGCGUGGGGAGCAAACAGG